GACGAACGCUGGCGGCGUGCUUAACACAUGCAAGUCGAGCGGUAAGGCUCCUUCGGGAGUACACGAGCGGCGAACGGGUGAGUAACACGUGAGCAAUCUGCCCUUCACUUUGGGAUAACUUCCGGAAACGGAAGCUAAUACCGAAUACGACCACUUCGGGCAUCCGAUGGUGGUGGAAAGUUCCGGCGGUGAAGGAUGAGCUCGCGGCCUAUCAGCUUGUUGGUGAGGUAACGGCUCACCAAGGCUUCGACGGGUAGCCGGCCUGAGAGGGUGACCGGCCACACUGGGACUGAGACACGGCCCAGACUCCUACGGGAGGCAGCAGUGGGGAAUAUUGGACAAUGGGCGAAAGCCUGAUCCAGCAACGCCGCGUGAGGGAUGACUGCCUUCGGGUUGUAAACCUCUUUCAGCGGGGACGAAGCGAAAGUGACGGUACCCGCAGAAGAAGCACCGGCCAACUACGUGCCAGCCGCCGCAGUAA
rnacentral:rRNA from 1 species